CAACCACACCCUAUCAAAAUGCUGGUUAGAGGGCAGCCCAGCAUUCUCGGCCCUCCACCAUCGUAUACACGUCGACAACAUGCUUUAUCCACCAAAUAUCUAGCGUCCCAAUGCACACACACCAAGCUCGAGCAUUCGAAAGGUCAUCUCAUCCAACCACUACGAGCAAGGUUAUGCCUCGGAAGUGGAGUUGUCACUGAACUAGGAUGAGAUUCUCCUGGCACGGGAUGGCAAACAUGCUAAAGCCACCAGAGCCUCUUUUCCAUCAGAGGAUGGCGGGACCCAUACGUUUAUUGUAAGUGCUCAGAUGUCCUUUGGAUAGCGAGCGCCAUGGGAUACUGAAAUUUCUCGCUCACCCCAUGCUUGAUAAGUUUUUUUUUUUUUUUGAGGAACG
rnacentral:lncRNA from 1 species